UACGUAGGGGGCAAGCGUUGUCCGGAUUUAUUGGGCGUAAAGAGCGUGUAGGCGGUUUGGUAGGUCCGUUGUGAAAACUCGAGGCUCAACCUCGAGACGCCGAUGGAAACCAUCAGACUAGAGUCCGGAAGAGGAGAGUGGAAUUCCUGGUGUAGCGGUGAAAUGCGCAGAUAUCAGGAAGAACACCCGUGGCUAAGGCGGCUCUCUAGUACGGUACUGACGCUGAGACGCGAAAGCGUGGGGAGCGAUCCGG
rnacentral:rRNA from 1 species